rnacentral:misc_RNA from 1 species
GCAAAUCUAGGGGAGGAUGAGAUUGAAUAAUAGCGAGGUUGCAGGCGAGGAGCUACUGCAGCAAAAAAAACACCAAGUGGAGGUUUUGCAGAUGGGAACUCAGCCAUUACCUCAAGAAGACUUCUCUGACUUGCAAUAACCCAUUGGGUGUACUCCUCCUUCCCCUGUGGCGAUGAUAAAAACUUGAGUCUUUCUGCCUCACUAGGUUCACUGGCAUGAGCAGCCAAAGCAAUCAAAGCAGCCUUUCGAGGGGGGUUCAAUAGAUCUGCAUUGCUUGACAAAGCAGAUCGAAGUGUGCAAGGCCCUGGGAAAGGAGGUGGCAAUGAACUUCCAAGGGGUGUGCCAUCCUCAUCGUCAUUGUGAAUGGAAAAUAGCAAAUCCAAGGGUUGACCCAACAACUUCCCUGCUUCUUCAACAGUUUCAUCAUGAUUCUCAGCAUAAACACCCACAUGGUCUCCAGUUUCAUAUAUUAUACCAGUCCCUGAUAUGUCAAACUCCAG